rfam:Felis catus isolate Cinnamon breed Abyssinian chromosome C1, whole genome shotgun sequence.
GCCUGGGUGGCUCAGCUGGUUGAGCGUCCGACUUCGGCUCAGGUCAUCAUCUCUCAGUUUGUGGGUUCGAGCCCCGCAUCGGGCU